GACAGAGGGUGCAAACGUUGUUCGGAAUCACUGGGCGUAAAGCGCGUGUAGGCGGCAGGGCAAGUCGGAUGUGAAAUCCCAUGGCUCAACCAUGGAAGUGCACCCGAAACUGCCCAGCUCGAGUCUCGGAGAGGAAGGUGGAAUGCUUGGUGUAGAGGUGAAAUUCGUAGAUAUCAAGCGGAACACCGGUGGCGAAGGCGGCCUUCUGGACGAUGACUGACGCUGAGACGCGAAAGCGUGGGGAGCAAACAGG
rnacentral:rRNA from 1 species